rnacentral:lncRNA from 1 species
GGGAGGUAAGUUGAUAAGUUAUUUGGCAUCUUAAAUUGUAUAGAAAGGAGUAAGCAGUAACGUUGUUAUUUGAUAGGUAAUUUUCAGAAUACGAGAUCACGUGAUAAAAAAUGUCAAAACCACCAUACUUAUUAGUUCAACAUUACUCAUGAGCAAUAUUUUCACCAAGUAUAAGUAUGUAUGACCUCCAACUCUUAUUGAAAAUAAAUAAAUAAGUGAUACAUUAAAAAUAAAAAA